GUGGGGAAUUUUGGACAAUGGGCGCAAGCCUGAUCCAGCCAUGCCGCGUGCAGGAUGAAGGCCUUCGGGUUGUAAACUGCUUUUGUACGGAACGAAAAGACUUCUUCUAAUACAGGAGGUCCAUGACGGUACCGUAAGAAUAAGCACCGGCUAACUACGUGCCAGCAGCCGCGGUAAUACGUAGGGUGCAAGCGUUAAUCGGAAUUACUGGGCGUAAAGCGUGCGCAGGCGGUUUUGUAAGACAGGCGUGAAAUCCCCGGGCUCAACCUGGGAAUUGCGCUUGUGACUGCAAGGCUGGAGUGCGGCAGAGGGGGAUGGAAUUCCGCGUGUAGCAGUGAAAUGCGUAGAUAUGCGGAGGAACACCGAUGGCGAAGGCAAUCCCCUGGGCCUGCACUGACGCUCAUGCACGAAAGCGUGGGGAGCAAACAGGAUUAGAUACCCCUGUAGUCC
rnacentral:rRNA from 1 species